rnacentral:precursor_RNA from 15 species
UGCAAAUCAAAAUAACUAAAAACUUCAACUGUCUUCAAAGUGGCAGUGACAUGUUGUCAACAAUAUUCAUAUCACAGCCAGCUUUGAGGAGCGUUGCGGUUUUUCUCGUCCGGCGACUUAAG